GUGUGCAGAUGGUGCUCAGAACCAGGGACAGACAUGUUUGUGUGGAUGGUGUUCAGCACCAGGGACAGACAUGUUUGUGU
rnacentral:pre_miRNA from 1 species